rnacentral:rRNA from 1 species
ACGGAGGGUGCAAGCGUUAAUCGGAAUUACUGGGCGUAAAGCGCGCGUAGGCGGUUGGGUAAGUCAGCUGUGAAAGCCCCGGGCUCAACCUGGGAACUGCAUUUGAUACUGCCCGACUUGAGUAUGGUAGAGGGGGGUGGAAUUCCCGGAGUAGCGGUGAAAUGCGUAGAUAUCGGGAGGAACACCAGUGGCGAAGGCGGCCCCCUGGACCAAUACUGACGCUGAGGUGCGAAAGCGUGGGGAGCAAACAG